rnacentral:lncRNA from 1 species
AUGCCUGGCGGGGAGGGUGCUGGAGGCGCGAGGGCGCAGGUACAUGGCCGUCACCGUGCCAUAGAAGAGCCCCACCACGGCCAGGUGCGAGCUGCAGGUGGACAAGGCCUUGAGGCGGCUCUUGGUCGAAGGCAGCUUGCGCACGGCAGCCAGAAUCAGGACGUAGGAGGCGAGGAUGAAGGCCAAAGGCACCAGGAGGAUGGGCGUGCCCAGGCCGUACACCAGCAGGUGGUUGGCAGUGGUGUCUGCGCACGCAGUCCUCAGCACAGCCGGAAGCUCGCAAAAGAAGUGGUCCACCGGGGGCCUCCCGGGGCAGUAGGGCAGGCGCAGCGCGGCCGCGGCGUUGGGCACCGACAAGGCAAAGCCCAGCACCCAGGCCGUGCCGGCCAGAGCUGCGCAGCACGCGGGAGUCAUGAGCGCCGCGUAGCGCAGGGGCUGGCACACGGCCAGGCAGCGGUCCAGCGCCAUGGCGGCCAGGAGAAUGGCCUCGCAGCUGCCCAGGGAGAUGCCCACGUAGAGCUGCGUCCCACAGCGCGCCAGGGAGAGGCGGGCCCGGCGCGCCACCAUGUGCCCCAGCGCCUGCGGCAGCGUGGUGCUCACGUAGGCUGUGUCCAGCAGCGCCAGGUGGGUCAGCAGGCGGUACAUGGGCCGGUGCAGCCGCUGGUCCAGCGCGAUCAGCCCCACCAGCGCGCUGUUACCCAGCACGGUGGCCACGUAGGCCAGCAGGAGCGCUGCCCACAGCAAGGGUCGCAGGGCAGGCGGGGCCCACAGCCCCAGGAGCACGAAGUCGGGGGUCCUGCUCCCAUUCCAGGCAGCGUGGCCCAUCCUGGGGGAAAGCGGAGGUUAGAGAGUGUGGCUGCCUCUGGGGCUGGGGUAUCAGAGCUGGCGCUCUCUCCCCCCUCAUCUGCCCACUGGUCUUUCUCCAGCCCCUCAGCCUGCCUCCAGCCCUCAGAAUCCUUGCUGCCCCCCUACCUUUGUCCUCCUGCCCGCCCUCCUCAGGACCAGCAGCUGGUGUCGUUCAUCUCGGGGUCAGCCAGCCCUGGGCGCCUCCUCUCAGCACCAGGGCCUGCCGUGAAUGGAGGCACGGAUAAAUCUGGCCAUUGCUCUAUAGGAGAGCUCGUCCAGGAAGACUGA